rnacentral:rRNA from 1 species
UGGGGAAUCUUGCGCAAUGGGCGAAAGCCUGACGCAGCGACGCCGCGUGAGGGAAGAAGGCUUUCGGGUUGUAAACCUCUUUCAGGAGGGACGAAGCCACUCGGGUUAAUAGCCCAGAGGGUGACGGUACCUCCAGAAGAAGCCCCGGCUAACUACGUGCCAGCAGCCGCGGUAAUACGUAGGGGGCAAGCGUUGUCCGGAUUUAUUGGGCGUAAAGAGCGUGUAGGCGGCCAGGCAGGUCCGUGGUGAAAACUGGAGGCUCAACCUCCAGACGUCGAUGGAAACCGCUUGGCUAGAGUCCGGAAGAGGAGAGUGGAAUUCCUGGUGUAGCGGUGAAAUGCGCAGAUAUCAGGAAGAACACCCGUGGCGAAAGCGGCUCUCUGGGACGGUACUGACGCUGAGACGCGAAAGCGUGGGGAGCGAACA